rnacentral:rRNA from 1 species
GAUGAACGCUGGCGGCGUGCCUAAUACAUGCAAGUCGAGCGAACAGACGAGGAGCUUGCUUCUCUGAUGUUAGCGGCGGACGGGUGAGUAACACGUGGAUAACCUACCUAUAAGACUGGGAUAACUUCGGGAAACCGGAGCUAAUACCGGAUAAUAUAUUGAACCGCAUGGUUCAAUAGUGAAAGACGGUUUUGCUGUCACUUAUAGAUGGAUCCGCGCUGCAUUAGCUAGUUGGUAAGGUAACGGCUUACCAAGGCAACGAUGCGUAGCCGACCUGAGAGGAUGAUCGGCCACACUGGAACUGAGACACGGUCCAGACUCCUACGGGAGGCAGCAGUAGGGAAUCUUCCGCAAUGGGCGAAAGCCUGACGGAGCAACGCCGCGUGAGUGAUGAAGGUCUUCGGAUCGUAAAACUCUGUUAUUAGGGAAGAACAUAUGUGUAAGUAACUAUGCACGUCUUGACGGUACCUAAUCAGAAAGCCACGGCUAACUACGUG